rnacentral:rRNA from 1 species
UUAAGUUAUUAAGGGCUACUGGUGGAUGCCUUGGCAUCAACAGGCGAUGAAGGACGUGUUUACCUGCGAUAAGCUUCGGGGAGUUGGUAAUAGCUUUGAUCCGUAGAUUUCCGAAUGGGGAAACCCACUGAAUUUAACAAUUCAGUAUCUCUAAGUGAAUACAUAGCUUAGAGAGGCGAUACCUGCCGAAUUGAGACAUCUUAGUAGGCAGAGGAGUAGAAAUCAACCGAGAUUUCCUAAGUAGCGGCGAGCGAAAGGGAACAAGCCCAAACCGAGAUCUCUGGUCUCGGGGUUGUAGGACCAAUCAAAGGAUAGAGUGAUGUUAGCAAAACUGUCUGGAAAGUCAGGCGAAACAGGGUGAUAGUCCCGUAUGCGAAAGCUGAACUCUACAGGAUUGGCACCUGAGUAGGUCCGGACACGUGAAACCCGGACUGAAUCUAGGAGGACCACCUUCUAAGGCUAAAUACUCGUUGAUGACCGAUAGCGUAUAGUACCGUGAGGGAAAGGUGAAAAGAACCCCUGUUAGGGGAGUGAAAUAGAAUCUGAAACCAGUAGCUUACAAGCGGUUAGAGGCCUAUGCCCUCUUUGAGGGAAUGGCUGAUAGCGUGCCUUUUGCAUGAUGAGCCAGCGAGUUACGUUAUAUGGCGAGGUUAAGGGAUUUCCAUUCCGGAGCCGAAGCGAAAGCGAGUGUGAAUAGCGCGUUUAGUCAUAUGGCGUAGACACGAAACCAAGUGAUCUAUCCAUGACCAGGUUGAAGCACGGGUAAGACCUUGUGGAGGACCGAACCAGUAGAUGUUGAAAAAUCUUUGGAUGAGUUGUGGAUAGGGGUGAAAGGCCAAUCAAACUUGGAGAUAUCUUGUUCUCUCCGAAAUAACUUUAGGGUUAGCCUCGGACGAACGUACAUGGGGGUAGAGCACUGGAUUUACGCGGGGGCUUACCGGCCUACCAAAUGAAACCAAACUCCGAAUACCAUGUAUUACUAUCCGGGAGUUAGACAGUGGGGGAUAAGCUUCAUUGUCAAAAGGGGAACAGCCCAGACCGUCGACUAAGGUCCCAAAUUCUAUGCUAAGUGAGUAAGGAAGUGAAGUUUCUAAGACAGUUGGAAUGUUGGCUUAGAGGCAGCAAUCAUUUAAAGAGUGCGUAACAGCUCACCAAUCGAGAAACUUUGCGCCGAUAAUUUGCGGGGCUAAGCAUAGAACCGAAGUCACGGGUUUAUAGUUUAACUAUAAGCGGUAGGAGAGCGUAGUAUAGGCGUCGAAGACGUACCGUAAGGAGCGUUGGAGCGUAUACUAGUGAUGAUGCAUGGCAUAAGUACACGAUAAAGGGAGUGAGAAUCUCCCUCGCCGAAAGCCUAAGGUUUCCAGGGUAAAGCUCGUCUUCCCUGGGUUAGCCGGCCCCUAAGCCGAGGCAGAAAUGCGUAGGUGAUGGGAAACAGGUUAAAUAUUCCUGUGCCGUCUAAGACUAUAGCGAUGGAAUGACGGAGUAAGUUAAGCAGGCGAACUAUUGGAUGUUCGUAGGGCUAUGAGGAAGUCUAGUAGGUAAAUCCGCUAGAAUAAUUCCAGGUAGUUCUCAAGGGGAACCUUCGGGGGAACCGAUGCUGUAGCGCGAUGCUUCCAAGAAAUAAUUUCUAGCUGUCGAUGGCGACCGUACCAAAACCGACACAGGUAGGCGGGAAGAAUAUUCUAAGGCGCGCGAGACAACUCUUGUUAAGGAACUCGGCAAAUUGUCCCCGUAACUUCGGGAGAAGGGGAGCCCCCAUUUGUGAUUACUCUUGCAGUAUGAGCAUGGGGGGGCCGCAGAGAAACGACCCAGGCGACUGUUUAUCAAAAACACAGCACUAUGCGAACCCUUUUGGGGAAGUAUAUGGUGUGAUGCCUGCCCAAUGCUAAAAGGUCAAAAGGAGGUGUUAGAACUUCGGUUCGAAGCUCCGAAUUUAAGCCCUAGUGAAUGGCGGCCGUAACUAUAACGGUCCUAAGGUAGCGAAAUUCCUUGUCGGGUAAGUUCCGACCUGCACGAAUGGCAUAACGAUCUGGGUGCUGUCUCAACAAGAGGCUCGGUGAAAUUGUAGUAGCGGUGAAGAUGCCGUUUACCCACAACGGGACGGAAAGACCCCGUGAACCUUUACUGUAAUUUGAUAUUGGCUUUUGAUUUGACAUGUGUAGGAUAACCAGGAAACUUUGAAGGGGCGUCGUCAGGCGUUCUGGAGUUAACCUUGAAAUACUGGUCUUGUCAUGUUGGAAAUCUAACAAGAUCCCAUGAAUCUGGGACUUGGACAUUGUCAGACGGGCAGUUUUACUGGGGCGGUAUCCUCCUAAAAAGUAACGGAGGAGUCCAAAGCUUACCUCACCAUGGUCAGCAAUCAUGGGUAGAGCGCAAAGGUAUAAGGUAAGUUGACUGCGAGACCAACAAGUCGAGCAGAUACGAAAGUAGGGCUUAGUGAUCCGGCGGUUGAAAGUGGAAUCGCCGUCGCUCAACGGAUAAAAGGUACUCCGGGGAUAACAGGCUUAUCGCCACCAAGAGUCCAUAUCGACGUGGCGGUUUGGCACCUCGAUGUCGGCUCAUCGCAUCCUGGGGCUGUAGAAGGUCCCAAGGGUUUGGCUGUUCGCCAAUUAAAGCGGUACGCGAGCUGGGUUCAAAACGUCGUGAGACAGUUUGGUCCCUAUCUGUUGUGGGCGUAGGAUAUUUGAAAGGAGCUGCUUCUAGUACGAGAGGACCGAAGUGGACGAACCAAUGGUGAAUCGGUUGUUCUGCCAAGGGCAUCGCCGGGUAGCUAAGUUCGGAAAGGAUAAGCGUUGAAAGCAUCUAAACGCCAAGCCUCCCUUAAGAUAAGAUAUCCCCAUCAGACUCCAUGAAGACUACAUGGUUGAUAGGCUGGAUGUGUAAGCGCAGCAAUGUGUUAAGCUAACCAGUACUAAUAAGUC